ensembl:lncRNA
CGACUGUAACUAUUUUCCCUCUUCUGUCUGGUCAGGUCCCUCCCUGCAGGACAGGACCAGGGUUCUGAGGAAAGCUCCAGGGGAUCAGCAGUCUGUUCAGAGGUCCCAGUCUGUCAUUCUGGACCAAGACCCUGAUCAGGAGGUUGUGACCACCACUAAAACUGAGUCAGCAGAGCCUGAGGAAGUGAGGGAACUGCUGAUCGUCAAGGUGGAGGGAGCUAUAGACACCAGACCUGCUGAUCCAGAAGAUCCCUGCAUCAGUGCCAGAGGGGAGCUCCCUGACGUCUUGAAAGAUGCCCAAGAUGGCCAGCCAGCCAGCUGCAGCAAAACGGAGGUGCAGGGAUGUCUGACAAACACAAGCAGAGUGGAAUGCAAGGAGGAAAGGAUGGAC